CGGCUCCCAGCCAUUCCCGAAGUUUGGGCAGCUCGGGGAGCCACGUCCGAGCGCUGCCGCUCCGGCCGGCUCUGGGAGCUCCUCCGUGGGAUUAAAGCCGAGCCAAAGCUGCCGUUUGUUCUCCGUCACGGGCAGAACAUCUGCGAGCCACAUGGAGGAGAGUUCACAGCCAAAAACGCCACGCUGGGGCCAGGGGACAAGGGACACCAUCCCUGGGGACAUUCCGGGAGCAGACGGGAGGCAGGGCUGGCACAGCGGGGGAGCAGCCGCGGGAUCCCACAAUUAAUUUACCGCAGCAAGUGGCAAAUCCAGAUGUUUUCCUCGGCCCUUGGAUAAAUCCCUCCUCCUCCCCCUCCUCCUCCUUCUCCUCCUCCCCCCGUGCUGGGAACACCGAGGUCGUGGCCCGCGGUCCCCGAGCCCCGUCCCUGCAACCCCCGUGUCCCGGUGCCAGCCUGGGAACCAUCCCGGGAAAUCCCCCAGCCCUGGAGGAGCCCGUCCCACCCAGCCGGGCUCCGGCUGCUCCGGGCUCCCGGCGCUCCCGGCAGGCGGGACGGGCACAGCCCGGGAGCUGCGGCUCCAAGUGGAGCACCGGGAGCCCUCAGGAGCACCGGGAGCAGCCCCGGGAGCCCUCAGGAGCACCGGGAGCAGCCCCGGGAGCUCUCAGGAGCACCGGGAGCAGCCCCGGGAGCCCUCAGGAGCACCGGGAGCAGCCCCGGGAGCCCUCAGGAGCACCGGGAGCAGCCCCGGGAGCCCUCGGAGCUGUUUUGAGUUCGGGGUAAAAAAACCCUUCCCUGGGUUUGGGCAGCCGGGAACCUCCCACCCGCCUCUCCCUGAAUCCAGCCUUGCUCAGCC